GACGAACGCUGGCGGCGUGCUUAACACAUGCAAGUCGAACGGUGAGGAACUGCAAUUGUGGGUUCCUCGAGAGGCGAACGGGUGAGUAACACGAGAGUAACGUGCAACUGAUUUUGGGAUAACUUCUGGAAACUGGGGCGACUACGGGAACGGAGCUCCUGCUGAUUGGAGAGGGUCGGAAAGUUUCGGAGGAUGGGUAUGGACUCGCGGCUUAUCGGUUUGUUGGGGGGGUAUUGGCUUACCAAGGCGUUGACGGGUAGCCAGCCUGAGGGGGUGACAGGCCACAUUGGGACGGAAAUGCGGCCCAGACUCCUACGGGAGGCAGCGGUGGGGAAGAGUGCACAAUAGGCGGAAGCCUGAUGCAAUGACGCCGCGUGCGGGAUGACGGCCAUCGGUUUGUAAACCGCUGCCGCCUUUGAUGAAGCGUGAGUGACGGUAAUAGGUAAAGAAGCACCGGCUAACUACGUG
rnacentral:rRNA from 1 species